GACCGCGUAGCUCAGUUGGCAGAGCAUUGGGCUAGUAUUCCAAAGGUCGUAGGUUCGAUCCCCACAGUGGCCA